GAUGAACGCUAGCGGCAGGCCUAACACAUGCAAGUCGAGGGAGAAGCCCUUUCGGGGGCAGAAACCGGCGCACGGGUGCGUAACGCGUAUGCAACCUACCUUUCACAGGGGGAUAGCCCGAAAAAAUUUGGAUUAAUACCCCAUAAUAUUGUUGGAUGGCAUCAUUUGGCAAUUAAAACUGCGGUGGUGAAAGAUGGGCAUGCGUCCUAUUAGCUAGUUGGAGUGGUAACGGCACCCCAAGGCUACGAUAGGUAGGGGUCCUGAGAGGGAGAUCCCCCACACUGGUACUGAGACAGGGACCAGACUCCUACGGGAGGCAGCAGUGAGGAAUAUUGGUCAAGGGUCGGAAGACUGAACCAGCCAUGCCGCGUGCAGGAAGAAUGCCUUAUGGGUUGUAAACUGCUUUUAUAUGGGAAGAAUAAGGCGUACGUGUACGUUGAUGACGGUACCAUAUGAAUAAGCAUCGGCUAACUCCGUG
rnacentral:rRNA from 1 species